rnacentral:rRNA from 1 species
CGGCAAUGGAGGAAACUCUGACCGAGCAACGCUGCGCGCAAUGACGAAGUACUUGGUAUGUAUAGUUCUUUAUCAAGGAAGAAAAGCAAAUGGCGAACCAUUUGUUUGCCGGUACUUGAUGAAUAAGCCCCGGCUAAUUAUGUGCCAGCAGCCGCGGUAAGACAUAAGGGGCAAGUGUUAUCCGGAAUUAUUGGGCGUAAAGGGUGCGUAGGCGGUCUAGUAAGUCAGUGGUGUAAUGGCAACGCUUAACGUUGUCCGGCUAUUGAAACUGCUAAACUUGAGUUAGAUAGAGGCGAGUGGAAUUCCAUGUGUAGCGGUAAAAUGCGUAAAUAUAUGGAGGAACACCAGAGGCGUAGGCGGCUCGCUGGGUCUUAACUGACGCUGAGGCACGAAAGCGUGGGGAGCAAACAGGAUUAGAUACCCUGGUAGUCCACGCCGUAAACGAUGAGUACUAAGUGUCGGGUUAAACCGGUACUGAAGUUAACACAUUAAGUACUCCGCCUGAGUAGUACGUACGCAAGUAUGAAACUUAAAGGAAUUGACGGGACUCCGCACAAGCGGUGGAUCAUGUUGUUUAAUUCGAAGAUACCCGAAAAACCUUACCAGGUCUUGACAUGUUUUUGCAAAAUGAUAGUAAUAUCGUGGAGGUUACCAGAAACACAGGUGGUGCAUGGUUGUCGUCAGCUCGUGUCGUGAGAUGUUAGGUUAAGUCCUAAAACGAGCGAAACCCUUAUCGUUAGUUGCCAGCACGUUAUGGUGGGGACUUUAACGAGACUGCCAAUGAUAAAUUGGAGGAAGGUGAGGAUCACGUCAAAUCAGCAUGCCCCUUAUGACCUGGCUACAAACGUGAUACAAUGGCUGUUACAAAGAGUAGCUGAA